GCCCAGCUAGCCCACUUGGUAUAGCACAAGGCUUCUAACCUUGUGGUCGUGGGUUCAAGCCCCAUAGUUUGCA
rnacentral:ncRNA from 7 species